AACGGUAAGUAGUGUAGCAAUACAUUACCAAGAGUGACGUACGGGUGCGUAACACGUAUGCAACCUACCCUUUACAGGAGGAUAGCUCGGGGAAACUCGAAUUAACCCUCCAUAGUAUAAUUGAAUGGCAUCAUUUGGUUAUUAAAACUGAGGUGGUAAAGGAUGGGCAUGCGUCUGAUUAGUUAGUUGGUGAGGUAAUGGCUCACCAAGACGAUGAUCAGUAGGGGUUCUGAGAGGAAGAUCCCCCACACUGGCACUGAGAUACGGGCCAGACUCCUACGGGAGGCAGCAGUAGGGAAUAUUGGUCAAUGGGUGAGAGCCUGAACCAGCCAUGCCGCGUGCAGGAAGAAGGCCUUCUGGGUUGUAAACUGCUUUUACCAGAGGAUAAAAUAGUCUUGCGAGACGAAUUGAAGGUACCUGGUGAAUAAGCCACGGCUAACUACGUGCCAGCAGCCGCGGUAAUACGUAGGUGGCAAGCGUUGUCCGGAUUUAUUGGGUUUAAAGGGUGCGUAGGCGGCCCUGUAAGUCAGUGGUGAAAUAUCGCAGCUUAACUGUGAGGGUGCCAUUGAUACUGCAGGGCUUGAGUACAGAUGAGGUAGGCGGAAUUGACGGUGUAGCGGUGAAAUGCAUAGAUAUCGUCAAGAACACCUAUAGCGAAGGCAGCUUACUAAGCUGUAACUGACGCUGAGGCACGAAAGUGUGGGGAUCAAACAGGAUUAGAUACCCUGGUAGUCCACACUGUAAACGUUGAUUACUCGCUGUGUGCGAUAUACAGUACGCGGCUU
rnacentral:rRNA from 1 species